GCUGGGCAAGGUGGCACAUGCCUGUAAUCCCAGCCGCUAAGGAGGCUGAGGCAGGAGGAUCACAAGUUCAAAGCCAGCCUCAGCAACACCAAGGUGCUGAACAACUCAGUGAGACCCUGUCUCUA
rnacentral:sRNA from 1 species